rnacentral:tRNA from 1 species
UCAACCAUAGUAUAAUUACUUAUUACAUAGUCUUUUCACGUCUAAAACCCUUACCUUUAAGGUGGUUGAC